GACGUAGGGCGCGAGCGUUGUCCGGAUUUAUUGGGCGUAAAGAGCUCGUAGGCGGCUUGUCGCGUCGACCGUGAAAACUUGGGGCUCAACCCCAAGCCUGCGGUCGAUACGGGCAGGCUAGAGUUCGGUAGGGGAGACUGGAAUUCCUGGUGUAGCGGUGAAAUGCGCAGAUAUCAGGAGGAACACCGGUGGCGAAGGCGGGUCCCUGGGCCGAUACUGACGCUGAGGAGCGAAAGCGUGGGGAGCGAACAGG
rnacentral:rRNA from 1 species